GCAGUCGUGGCCGAGUGGUAAAAGCGAUGGACUAGAAAUCCAUUGGGGUCUCCCCGCACAGGUUCGAAUCCUGUCGACUGCA
rnacentral:tRNA from 2 species